rnacentral:rRNA from 1 species
UAGGGAAUCUUCCGCAAUGGGCGAAAGCCUGACGGUGCAACGCCGCGUGAGUGAUGAAGGUCUUCGGAUCGUAAAACUCUGUUAUUAGGGAAGAACAAAUGUGUAAGUAACUAUGCACGUCUUGACGGUACCUAAUCAGAAAGCCACGGCUAACUACGUGCCAGCAGCCGCGGUAAUACGUAGGUGGCAAGCGUUAUCCGGAAUUAUUGGGCGUAAAGCGCGCGUAGGCGGUUUUUUAAGUCUGAUGUGAAAGCCCACGGCUCAACCGUGGAGGGUCAUUGGAAACUGGAAAACUUGAGUGCAGAAGAGGAAAGUGGAAUUCCAUGUGUAGCGGUGAAAUGCGCAGAGAUAUGGAGGAACACCAGUGGCGAAGGCGACUUUCUGGUCUGUAACUGACGCUGAUGUGCGAAAGCGUGGAGAUCAAACAGG